CCACAUAUUUCCUCUGUAUGAACUCUCGUUCUUUUGGAGCUCAUUCAUUGGUGCCCUACUGACAAUCCUGCUUGGAACAGCUUUGGGCGUCUUAACAGGUGGAGUCAAAGCAUGCGGAAACAACGUGAGUCUGACAAGUCCACUCUUCUUAAACCUGUGGAGGCGCUUCAAGUUUUUUGCUAACAUAAUUCAGGUUGACAAAGAAAGCAAAAAUGGUGGUUCGACUUUGCUUCACAACGACGAAGGUGUUGGGGAGAAAACCAGUCGUGUCACCAAGAUGCGAAACAGCGAAGAAGAAAAAUGUAUUUUUGCCUCUGGGUUACUAACAAAUGCCGGGACAAAUGAACUCUCGUUAUAGGUGCUCAAGUUACGAGUGUUGCCACAGCAGAAUUAUUACACGACUGU